rnacentral:tmRNA from 1 species
GGGGCCGAUUUGGAUUCGACGCCGGUUACAAAACUUAUGUGUGCAUGCCGUGAUGGUAGCCAAUCACGUUAAUCCAAAGCUGCAAACUAUUAGUUGCCAACGAUGACAACUACGGUGCUCAACUAGCUGCGUAAGUAGCUUUUUGUUGUACCUUCUAGUGGAUGCGUCCGCUAGCGGCCUUUAGCAAGGUGCCAGUACCGCGCUAAUGUCCGUCACUCAGAACUGGAUCGCUGUGAAACCGCGCCUGAGGUGGAUCUGCUAAACAUUAAUCAGGAUCGCCAAACUCGUCCUGCCCGUCGGGCUGAAUGCGGCUAAAUUUAAUUGACGGAAUCUAAGCAUGUAGAGCGCUAAGCAGCGGACUGACGGACGCGGGUUCAAUUCCCGCCGGCUCCACCA